rnacentral:lncRNA from 1 species
UAUAAUGUCGGGUUGGUUUGGUUUCGGUUUGACUUUCUUUAGUUAAAACCAAACCAAACCAAUUAUGGUCGGGUUUCUUUUUCCAAUACCAAACCGUGGUCGGGUUUUUUUCUCGGUUUGACGCGGAUUAUCGGGUUGGUGCGGUUUGUCGGUUUCCUUUGUACACCCCUAUGACUGUAACUGCAUGCAAAGAAAAAAUAUUUAGCGUUGUCGUAAAUGAUUAUUAGAAAAAAUGUAUUGUAUUUGUCCCUGCACAAAGCAUCAUGCGUUCGUGCAGUAUUAGGGAAGGACCGCAUCCCAAGAUAAUGUGAUGGUGCAGGUAUUUAGGUUGAUUUCACUCCUCGGAUCCGUUCCAUAUUAGAAAAUGAUUGAUAGAUGAGGAACUAGAUCUAAGAAAAUAAAUGAUUUAUAUCAAAAUCUAGAUUUAACUAAUGACACAAUUAUUAAAGACUUUCGAUCAAUUAAUUCUCCCAUACCAAAUAUAUAAAUCAUCGUAAAAUAUAUAGCCAUUUUGCAUCGAAUCAAUUAGGUUAACAGAAUCUCGUAGAGCUAUAUUUAUCUGUGGAUUACUAUAUAAAUAUUGGUAUGAGAUUUGAUCGAAACUAAUUAACAAUUUUGUUACGUAGUAUUAGAUAUAUUAAUAGAAGACGAGAGGUAGAGCAUCAGCGUUGAUUGAACUAUCAGAUGAUCUAAUCAAUGCAUAAAACACGAUUACUGUCAUAAAAAGAAAGGUUCUAAUUUACAUGAAAAUUAGUUUGUUAUACUUUGGAUAUAUAGAUGAAUAAACGAAAACGAAAUGAAUAAGAUAAGAAACAAAUGAUAGAGAUGAGCAAUGAAAAACUUACCUUUCAAGAAAGUAAAGAGAAG